ACGGUGCGCUUGACUCCCCUUGGCCGCGCAUCGUGACACCACAGUGCAUCUCCAUGGCUCUGGCCUCUGCCUUGGGCCACUUGUCAGCGAGAUGAAGACAACUGUCGGUGCUCUGCUGCCUGCGCAAGCCCUGGACCUGGCACUGGGCAAGACUGCUGUCUGCUGGCCACAAAGGCUUAAACUGUCCAGGAGACUUGGGACACAGGGUCUCACUACACAGCUCCAACUCGCAGUGAUCCU